GCUGAAGCGGGGCCGGCAGCCGCGGUAAUACGUAUGUGCCGAGCGUUAUCCGGAGUUAUUGGGCGUAAAGCUAGCGCAGACGGUUCGAUAAGUCUGAAGUGAAAGCCCACAGCUCAACUGUUGAAUGGCUUUGGAAACUGUCGAACUUGAGUGCAGUAGAGGUAAGUGGAACUCCAUGUGUAGCGGUGGAAUGCGUAGAUAUAUGGAAGAACACCAGUGGCGAAGGCGGCUUACUGGACUGCAACUGACGUUGAGGCUCGAAAGUGUGGGUAGCAAACAGGAUUAGAUACCCUAGUAGUC
rnacentral:rRNA from 1 species